GCUGAACAAACUGAAAAAUCAACUCUUCUUAGAUGCAUAAGAGAAGUGAGGUCACAGGGCAAAUCGCUGCCCCCACACUUGGAGAGAUGGGCAGGCGAAUACAGAGAAUCACAACUUACCGGAGCAGCAACCCAUGAGCUGAAAUGGCCACAGGAACCAGCACCCAGGAAGGGAAACCUAAAUUGUGAUUUGGACCAAGCUUCUCACCAGCUUUUCCC
rnacentral:lncRNA from 1 species